rnacentral:rRNA from 1 species
UACAGAGGUCCCAAGCGUUGUUCGGAUUUACUGGGCGUAAAGGGUGCGUAGGCGGUUGUUUAAGUCUGACGUGAAAUCUCCGGGCUCAACCCGGAAACUGCGUUGGAAACUAUUCAACUAGAGGAAUGGAGGGGAGACUGGAAUACUUGGUGUAGCAGUGAAAUGCGUAGAUAUCAAGUGGAACACCAGUGGCGAAGGCGAGUCUCUGGACAUUUCCUGACGCUGAGGCACGAAAGCCAGGGGAGCAAACGGG